AUACUUACCUGGCAAGGGAGAUACCAUGAUCAAGAAGGUGGUUCACCCAGGGCGAGGCUCAGCCAUUGCACUCCGGUUGAGCUGACCUCUGCGAAUUCCCCAAAUGUGGGAAUCUCGAUUGCAUAAUUUCUGGUAGUGGGGGACUGCGUUCGCGCUCUCCCCUG
ensembl:snRNA U1 U1 spliceosomal RNA